rnacentral:rRNA from 1 species
GGAGUCUGGGCCGUGUCUCAGUCCCAAUGUGGCCGAUUAGCCUCUCAGCUCGGCUACGCAUCCAUGCCUUGGUGGGCCAUUAUCCCGCCAACUAGCUAAUGCGACGCAGGGCCAUCCUUAAGCGCGACAAUAGUCGCCUUUGAGCACAUAAGCCUGCGCUUACGUGCUGUUAUCCGGCAUUAGCAAACGUUUCCGCUUGGUAUUCCGGUCUAAAGGGCAGGUUCCCAACGUGUUACUCACCCGUACGCCACUAGGUGUAUUGCUACACCUCGUUCGACUUGCAUGUAUUAGGCACGCCGCCAGCGUUUAUC